rnacentral:sRNA from 2 species
AGAAACGUUUUCGAGGGUUCCGCAGCUGCCAGGCGGCUGGGCUGUGACCGAGAGAAAACGCGCGGCGCUGCUCGCGUACACGGAGGGAUAAAAGCCCGGGAGGA